GCAAACUGCACAGGCACACCACACCGAACAGAAUGACCGUGCUUUCCCGUUUUAGUUGAGCUCAAAUUAUUUAAUUAAACACGAAAAUGCGGGUACCGUUGAAUAUCAAUCCCUGCGUGGAUAUUAAGAAACGUUCAUUUAAAUUGUCCAUGUUUACAGUGCUAAACAUUAUCAAAUAAAAUAUUGUGAAAAACGUGUUACUGUAGUGAAAACAUAACCUGAAGUUGUACAUACCUUACUCUAUUACGUGAUAGAAGUGACAACAUCAACAAGCAGGGGAUUUACUGUCGGGGAGACUAUACUCCGUUCAAAUUAACUUCCGACUUGGGAUGGACAUGUGCAGCAGAGAAGGCAUACAGUGGCAGGGAUACAACGGCUGCUAUGUUGCCGUUGUGUACUGGCCAGCGUUCUCUAAUUCCCAGAGUUUAUAGCAAAAUUAGAUUAUGCGACCUCUUCAGUGGGAUGCGGAGGAGUUUCUGAGCGUAUUACUAAUUCACCCACAAUGGCGGAAUCCGGCGGGUCCACUCAAUACUGCACAAAUUACGAGUUCAUGUCUAGAAGGAGUGGGCUGAUGCGGUGCAAUGGAGGAGUAUGGUAACUGAUUCAUUCUCCGGCCAAUAUAAGAUGCAAGAAGUAACUAACUCCAACUUUGAACAUUAUUCAAAAUGUUCCUCAAAUUAUCUCGAAGUUUACGUCUGAAAUCAUAGGUCUUCGGUACAUCAGUCUACUCUGGUCUAGUUUUGUGGAAAUAUUUUAGAAGAUGGAAUUUACCACAGCAUGAAUAUUGUCAUCUCUACACGCCUUCAUAUAAUAUUCUACCAGCAUCUCUAUAGGAUUCUACACUCAUCUCUACAGGAUUCUACACGCAUCUCUACAGGUUUUUCAAGUGCCACGUAAUUUCUAGUUUCUUUACUCAGUAAUUUUAUAGUAUUUAUUUAUAGUUAUUAUUUAUUGGCUGCUUACUAAAUGUAAUUAUUUUUCUGAUACUACACAUCAAUGAUGUAUUUUAACUAUACUCUGAAUUUAACAAGUUGAGACUUGGAAGAAAUAUCUGUAUCAUCAAAAUGUGCGAUUUUUCUAACUUUUCAUUCAAACCCUUAUGACUGAAUAUAUUCAAUAAUAUAACGCUGCAUCGACUAUGUUGUCAAAUUAUAUAUUCAGUUAUAAAGAAUUGCUUGGAAAGGUCUCAAUGUUGCACAAUUUGGCAAAUACGAUAAUUUGUCAGUAUCAACUUGUUUUAUUCAAUGAAUAGGUAUUUUAUGUUUUUUGUUUAGCACCUCUAAAAUAUUCUAGCUUGCCCCAAAUUGCUUUCCAUUGGUUCGGAGCCUACUCUAGCAUUCCGCUAUUUAUUCUAAAAUUGAUUUCUAGUUACUUGGACCACACAUUGAACUUUGAAUCUUUUUAUUUCAUAUUCGUCAAUACAAUUAUUAUCCACACACAAAACUCGGACUUAUGUGGGCCUGAAUCUCAAUAAAAAAUACUUAUGUUUUUUUCCAUACUUGACUCCAUUUGAAAAUUAUAAUUAAUAUUUUUUAUGUCAACUAAACUGUGGGAAAGUAUAUCUUAACUCAGAGUCCAUUAGAUCUACACUUGAACUGAAAAUAGGCCAGCUUCUGUCUCAGUAAGGUGUUGCUCUAUCACUAUUCCGUGUUAUGCAUAUCAAUUGGUAGACCCAUAUCAAGAUUCAAGCAUCAUCUGAAUUAACUAGGGCAGUUAACGAACCAUCAGCUUUAUAUGUCACCUACAACUGCGUCUGUGAGUUACAAAUCUGGAUUACCAAUGCAAUCAAUUGUAGACUUUUAGAAAUUCGCCAUAAUUCAGAUUUAUAAUUUAGAAAUUUGAGACUUUUAGAAAUUCGCCAUUCGAAAGGCCAUUGCAGAACUCGAUGGGUGCGUGAAAUAUAUUUGAAAAGAGAGGAAUUUGGUGAAUUUCAUCACAUUAUGUCAGACUUAAAUAGUGACUACAACUUUUUUCAUGGUUAUCCACGUAUGGAUGAGGAAACCUUUGACUGUAUAGUUGAUGCUAUACGACCUGAUUUAUCUAGAUACAGUAAUUUUUGCAAGAUCAUACCACCUGAAGAAAGAUUAGUUAGUUAUAGCUUUGAUGUAAGAUACACAGUUGGGUGGGUAAUGCACCGUCUUUUUGACAACUCUUUAUUGAACACUUCAUAUUUUAGUAAUAAUUAUUCUCAUUAAUUUGCAAUAAAAUUUCAGGCAUUGCAGAAUUUGACAAUAUUUGGUCAUUUUGUUCCACAAUGCUAUACUGAGGGGAAUUACUAGAAUCAACUAACUCGACAACAGGAAGAUCAUUAUUCUGUUCGUCUCUAAGCACUUGCAUCAAUUUGUUCCGAACUGUCAAUUUGCGUUGUUUGAAGACGUCAUCCAAAAAUGGUAGAAUGGUAGAGAAACUGGAAAUCAGGAUAAUUUUACUUUUGACAGAACUUUUACUUUUCUUUUUCAAUUUUCAUCAGUUUCCUAUCAAUGACCAGUGGCGAUCGGUGCUAUAAAAAGUUAGUGAAGCACUAAUUUGUUGAUGGGGCGGGGGGAGGGAGGUGGUUGUGGUUUGUUUGUUGUGGGUAAUUUUCCUUGACCAUGCGUGUAAUAUUUCCUUUUACUCAUUCUUUUUUCCAUUGAAGCAUAAUCUCACUGUAGACUGACAAGAGAUUUCCUUCUAAACUUAAAAUAACAUGAAAACUCUGCAUUACAAUUUAUUAUUAUCAAGAGAUAUAUCUAAGAAUAAUAUAUAAUUGAAAAAAAAA